rnacentral:rRNA from 1 species
CGAACGCUGGCGGCGUGCUUAACACAUGCAAGUCGAACGGAAAGGCCUGCCACCUUGGUGGUGGGUACUCGAGUGGCGAACGGGUGAGUAACACGUGGGUGAUCUGCCCCGCACUGUGGGAUAAGCCUGGGAAACUGGGUCUAAUACCACAUACGACCAUGGCGUAGGGGUCAUGGUGGAAAGCUUUUGCGGUGUGGGAUGAGCCCGCGGCCUAUCAGCUUGUUGGUGGGGUAAUGGCCUACCAAGGCGGCGACGGGUAGCCGGCCUGAGAGGGUGGACGGCCACAUUGGGACUGAGACACGGCCCAGACUCCUACGGGAGGCAGCAGUGGGGAAUAUUGCACAAUGGGCGCAAGCCUGAUGCAGCGACGCCGCGUGGGGGAUGGAAGGCCUUCGGGUUGUAAACUCCUUUCGCCCGGGACGAAGCCCACCUGGUGGGUGACGGUACCGUGGAGAAGAAGCACCGGCUAACUAC